GAUUAUGUGGGCAGUUGGGGAAUAUGUGUGAUGGGUCUGAGCUCAUCCAGUAAAACUCUCAAAAGAUGAAUAGAUGCCCUUUUCCUUGAGGAGCCUUCUGCCUGAUUUCUUUGUCACUGAGUUUGGGUCCCUGGUUGGAGUGGCAGGAGGAAGGGGUCCACCACGUCUUCUGACUGUCUCUUCCUGAUCCCUGGCCCACCUCACCAGAAUCACCCAGGACAUUUUCCAGCAGUUGCUGAAACGAGGUUUUGUGCUGCAAGAUACUGUGGAGCAACUGCGAUGUGAGCACUGUGCUCGCUUCCUGGCUGACCGCUUCGUGGAGGGCGUGUGUCCCUUCUGUGGCUAUGAGGAGGCUCGGGGUGACCAGUGUGACAAGUGUGGCAAGCUCAUCAAUGCUGUCGAGCUUAAGAAGCCUCAGUGUAAAGUCUGCCGAUCAUGCCCUGUGGUGCAGUCGAGCCAGCACCU
rnacentral:lncRNA from 1 species